CUGUUGAAAACGUCAUCUGACAAGUCACACUCAGACUAUGAAUAUGUGCUUUUUUGCAAUAUUUUUCCCUUUAACGAACGAAAACACUACACAAACGCGAACCAAUGAGUUUGGAAAAUGUCCCUCAGGUCAGUCAACUGUCUGUUGUCAGGUUAGCGCCCACAGAGCCGCACCUGCUCCUCACCUGGACAGAGCAGAGCACUGGCAGGUGACAUGAAGCUGACACAGGACAGAUGUAAUAACGAGCUUCUACUGUGUGGACGGAGGAUUCACCCUCAGGGCACAGUCUACCGGAGCCCCCCUGACCUCUCUGUCACCCCUUCCUAACCCACGUUAGCCAAGGCAUCCUGGGAACAAGAAAGAAAAUGAAGGAACACUCUGCUGCGUCUUAGCGUCCGCAGAGCCAAAUCACAACCAGACCCGUUUGUACAGGGGAUAGGCAGUGCCCACCCAGGCAGGCAGCCCCUCUAGCCCUGGUCAGCCAUAGAAGAGGUUCAUCCCAGUGGGUUGACCUCGCUUUCAUCUGAUCAUGGGUCUGAGCUGUUCUCUCACACCCAGCACUGCUGCAAGGGCAACAUAUUAGCUAAGGGAGGAGGUUUGCUCCAGUUCUUGUGUGUGUGGCAUCUAAAUUUGAUUGAAAUUAGUUCAUUUUUGGGAAUCUGUUAUGGACGUGAAUGUAGAUCCAAAUAUAUCCUGUUGAAGUAGCCAGUUGGAUGUCCUUUCCACAUGAUUUUAUGCUUCAGUUUGUGCUUUGUUGAGUAGCGUUAUAGGUCCCAUGACUGCAGUACACUCUUCUCUUUUUCCACCCAUUCUCAUGUCUCUCCAUGGACUCACUUUUCCCAUCUCUCUGCCUUUUUCUUAUAUCUGUCUCUCAGGCUCGAUGGAAAGGCAAGGACAGACAACUUUACAUGUACACACACACACACACACACACACACACACACACACACACACACACACACACACACACACACACACACACACACACACACACAUGCAGACACACAGCACCCCCACCUCUGCUGACCUCUUCUUCAUCUCCCACAAGGCCUUGGGGUGAGGCAGCCUGGCACCAGACAGUUAUUCAAACCCUCAGGCAGCUUCACUACAGGUCGGAGACAGAAACAGAAACAGAGACAGUGUGAGAGAGAGAGAGAGAGAGAGAGAGAGAGAGAGAUGUAUUCUCAGCUGAUAAUAUACUGAUUAACUGGUGUCUUAGCUUCAUAUGGGGGAGGAGGACUAGAGAGAACUGAAACUUUGUGAAGCCUUUUAAAAAUAAUUUCAAUGAAUGUUGGGCAUUGUUUGCUGGAUUUACAUCAAAAUUUCCUUUAGAAAUAGAAAAAUACAAAAUAAAAUUAAAGUCUAAGAAAUUAAUUAGCUUCUUUGACUUUAGUUAUUGCCUUUGUAGAUUCCUCUCAGUCUUUAAACCCAUGCCUUUAAAACAGAAAAAUGUGUUAUUCAGCCAUAAAUUAAUUUUGUUUUUUAUUAUGUUUCAUUUAAUUUUUAAUCCCAUGAAACAGGAAAUAAAAGCAGUGGGAUGCUGUGAUUGGAUUAAAAGUCGUCUUCGUAAACAUUGUGACCCAUGUCUUUGACACACCUCCUUUCUCCUCUUGAAGAAAG